CAGUCGAGGGGUAUAUUUCUUCGGAGAUAGAGACCGGCGCACGGGUGCGUAACGCGUAUGCAAUCUACCUUUCACAGAGGGAUAGCCCAGAGAAAUUUGGAUUAAUACCUCAUAGUAUUACGAAAUGGCAUCAUUUUGUAAUUAAAGUCACAACGGUGAAAGAUGAGCAUGCGUCCCAUUAGCUAGUUGGUAAGGUAACGGCUUACCAAGGCUACGAUGGGUAGGGGUCCUGAGAGGGAGAUCCCCCACACUGGUACUGAGACACGGACCAGACUCCUACGGGAGGCAGCAGUGAGGAAUAUUGGACAAUGGGCGCAAGCCUGAUCCAGCCAUGCCGCGUGCAGGAUGACGGUCCUAUGGAUUGUAAACUGCUUUUGCACAGGAAGAAACAACGCUACGUGUAGCGUCUUGACGGUACUGUGAGAAUAAGGAUCGGCUAACUCCGUGCCAGCAGCCGCGGUAAUACGGAGGAUCCAAGCGUUAUCCGGAAUCAUUGGGUUUAAAGGGUCCGUAGGCGGUUUAGUAAGUCAGUGGUGAAAGCCCAUCGCUCAACGGUGGAACGGCCAUUGAUACUGCUAGACUUGAAUUAUUAGGAAGUAACUAGAAUAUGUAGUGUAGCGGUGAAAUGCUUAGAGAUUACAUGGAAUACCAAUUGCGAAGGCAGGUUACUACUAAUGGAUUGACGCUGAUGGACGAAAGCGUGGGUAGCGAACAGGAUUAGAUACCCUGGUAGUCCACGCCGUANACGAUGGAUACUAGCUGUUGGGAGCAAUCUCAGUGGCUAAGCGAAAGUGAUAAGUAUCCCACCUGGGGAGUACGUUCGCAAGAAUGAAAC
rnacentral:rRNA from 1 species